GCACCCCGGGAAAAAAAGUUGGCCGGGAGGAACUAGCCGGGCCUGCUUUUCCUCCCCCGGAGUCCCUCCUCGGGCGGGAGCGCAGGCCGCAGCCAGCCGCCGCCUGAGCGAGCUUGUCGCUAGGCUCUUUGCCCCGCUCGGGCACCCGCCCCCAGCCCCGGGACCCAGACGUUAUCUUACUCUGCCGCCGAGAAGGGCUUUCCCAGCGAAGAGGGUGCAGGAGCUCCUCUAGGAAAGGCCAGGAAUGGCGUGAGCACAAAAAAUGGCCAAGUAGGUGUCAUGGAGGCACUGCUGGCCAAGAAGAGGGAGUGAGACGUGAGAAGCAGCUAAGGCUGAAUAUGGCUGCCGGGCGGGAAGCUCCAUCCAGAUGCUGGUGGAGUUGGCGCCAUGGAAAAUGGACAAGCUGCCAGGAUUCACAGAGUAUAAAUCGUCAUUUUUGAAACAUACAGAUUUACAACAGAAGUAUGAAAACAAUAGAACUACUGAACAGAGAGCAACUUAGGAAAUCAAUGAAGCCUCCAACAACCACUAGCCAGACUCCUUUUUGCAAGUUUCAACAAGCAUUCUGCAUGGAAAUGCAAACGGCACCGCUUUGUCAGGCUAUUUAUAUCCUGCUGCCCUUCCUGCAAGGACCAUGAGCCACAGGUUUCAGCAGUACUUUUCUGUGGAUUUUCUCAGCAGAAUGUUUGUAAGAAACCUGAUCACCACUUGGUUCAGUUCUUGCUGACUGCACUGAAGAGCUGACACAAAGAGACGAGAGAAAGCACCAGCGCGAGGUCGCUCACAGCACGCCCUGAGACCAACAUUCCCCACCCUGUGAAGUCUCUGGCAGUUUAAGUUUUGGAACGUGGAAGAUUUAUCAGGAAUGCCAGCACAGCAUGGGCUUAAUGCAACACUGAAUCUGGCAAGACUCAGGUUCCACAGUUCCAUGGAAAACUUUUGCUUUCAGGAGCUUAGGAUGAUCCCAAACUGCGGGUAUGGAGAGCGGUGCAGCCGUACGGGCUGUGUCUGGGAUAGACUCUGCAGAGGAGUUUGUACUCUGUUACUGUGCUGGAAGAGUGGAGUUAAAGUAUGGGUUCCGUGCAUCUGACAUUGGUCCUUCAAUCCCUUACAAAAUCAAAAGUGGGAGGAGCCUUGCCAAAAGACUGAACAGAAGAAGUCCAAUCGGCCCAAGAGAGUGGUGUCUGAUGGACGUGUGCAUAACCCGGGCUGCUGCUACCAGAUCUGCAGUGGAGCAUGUGCAACGUUUGAGGUGGGUACCGAGCCACCAAGAUGGGGCAAGCACUACCCGUUAGGUGGAAAGGAACCCCCAUGUCAUUGCUUGCACCAGAGCUCACGCCAAUUGCCCUGCACCUCUAUAACCACCUACUAUUUACUCCCUUCUGCCCCUCUGCAAUGAACGCCCUUAGACCCCUUUAGAUAAUAUAGCUGUGCCUGAAGAUACCUGUCCUUAUGAAACAAAGGGUAAUGCAGUGACACCUCAAAACUGCAGCAAAUGUGCAAAGCACAGUGGAUACACUCAUGUACGUUAAGUUACACUGAAUAGAACACGCAAUUUACACAUGUUGAUGUGUUACUAGAUAAUAACUUUCAACAUAUCUGAAUCCAACAUAUCUGAUGAUAACUUUCAACAUACUAGAUACUGAAUAUCUAGUAUUUUCCAAAGCCACGGACUAUGGCUAGAAAGAGUAUUUCUUUGAAAUAACAUAUUACUCUCAGAUGUGUAUGGGGGGCUGUUAAGUUCAGCACAAUGCUUUAAAUCCCAUCAUAAUAAGGAUCUGGAUGCUGCUGUUACAUCAAAACAGAUGAUGCACAAUACAUUUAAUAAGAAUUAGGCUUGUACAUUUGAGGGAAGAAAUAAAUCCCUGAAGGCUGUAACAUCAAGCCUGACGUUCAGGCACCAAGCCAUGAGCGUUGGUGAACUGCAACCGAGGGUUUACAGCAAACAAACGGAAACACUGCUUGUAUUGUCACAGGGAAGAUGACAGACAUCUGUCUCACUGAUUCAACAUCUCUAACUCACACCAUGAUCAAAAGCUCAGAACCUUUAUAGAAGCCACAGAGCAGUAAAAAAA